UAGCAUCCUGGACAUUUCACAUCCAUAAGGCUACCUGAGGGGGAGGAAGUGGAAGAAAUGGGUGGCUGCUCUUCUUGGUUGAUCUCGGGAGAUCUGACUGAAGGUCUUGCAGUUGUACACGCCCAUCAUACUGCUGUCAUCUCAGACUGAUGAUCAAGUCAUACAGAUGCAUCUUCAGUACUUCCGGCUCUGCCUCCAUGGGCGGCACCUCCCUCGCUUAGCUCAGGGGCGGCGCCUCCCUCGCUUAGCUCAGGAGCUCCAGCGAUCUCAGACGCCAACCAGGGAGAGCACUAUGAGGCUGAUUUUCACAAGACCUGGCGAAGCUGAGGACUGAGCCCAGCUGAAGAUCAGCUUUCUCCUACAUCUGCUGCCCCAUGGGACAGGAUGCUAUCAGUGACAGGAUUGGAAGGAAAAUACACGGAGUGGUGCUUCGAGCCUAUUUUUCUGAGAACAUUCCUAGAAGUAAACAUUGAAGUUAUCUCCCAGAGGGACCUCUGCUUCUAGAUUUUAGGUUUAAUGUCUCAUGCAUAAUAGGGAAGUGGACUACCACUGGGCUGCAUUCCCAGUCCACAGACACCUGAAAUCUUGCAAUGAAUUAGAAAGAUAAACCAUCGAACAGAACCCAGAGUCUCCAAAUUUAACUCCCCUGAGCACCAAAGGACCCGAGGUCAUCUCUUCCUGCCUUCUGUCCACACUAUUUGCAGUGUCCACCUUGGCUGCCCACCUCUUCCUGGGGCUAAGGAGACCAUCUGCCUGUUGGAUGGCAAUGAUUCAGCGCGGUGGGGUGGCCAGUCUCCUUCCCUUCCAGCCCUUGCUAUUGACCGAGUCUGGACUCCUGCUUUCUGAAAGACAAUGGCAGAAGGCUGGGGAGUGUGCUGGUCCUUCCUUUUCUGGGGACACCACACAGAGGGAGAGCUGCGGAGAAGACACAGUUGUGGUGGCCAGGAGAGCAGUUAGACUAUGUAUGCAUGAGCUUCUAUGAAGUUCUAAUAGCAAGGUCAAAGGCAACCCUGGGAAAUUUCUUGUCCCUCUGUAGUCUAAUCCUCGACAUGCUGAGGGGAGGAGGCAGACAGCCUUUUGCCAGAGAGAGCUUGGCACUCAGACUCCUGCCAUCUGGGUUGUGAAUGCUCGCUCUCUUCCUCCCUCCCUCUCAAAUUUCUAUUGUGCAUGUGUGCAUACACGCAUGUCUCUGUGUAUCUGU